CCCGCCCAACACUCCCCGCCCUGGCCCUGUGAUGGAUCCUUAUGGAAACGACCCCUGACCCUUGACCCUGGAUCCUGGACUCUGGGUGGGAUUCUCUCCCCCCACCCCUCCUCUACAGAUCUCCCUCCCGGAGUCUGCUGGGCCUGCUGGGCCUGCUGGGUCUGCUGGGCCUGCUGGGCCUGCUGGGCCUGCUGGGCCUGCUGGGCCUGCUGGGUCUGCUGGCUGUUCUGGGUCUCGGCACAUCUCUGGAGCUCCGGCUCCGAGCUAACAAACAAGGAAAGACUUCAUUUAAGAUCACGCGCGCAAGCAUGCACUGACACACACACACACACACACAAAUAAAUGCCUAAGCACACACACAUGCACACAGACACACAGCACAGCACACCACAACUCCAAACAAACACAGAAUCACAUACGCGUAGACAGACGCAACAAAAAACACAACAUUGAAAAAAACAAAGAAACAAAAAAAUACAGAAGCUUACGAAAAUAACUUUGACAACUUUGACAAACCGAGAUAAAGUAGAGAUAUGGUUUAUGUUUUAGCCAUUGUAUGGCUGUCCAAGUUAGCUUUUUUGUAAAAGCCCUUGUAUAGUUACAGAAGACUGAGAGUGAGUGCAGGGUUGCUGGGGUGAGAGCUGGCUGUCACACCCGAGAGCCCCCCCUGGAGUCUGGUCUGAGGGGAGGGAGGGAGAGGGAGGGAGAGGGAGGGAGAGAGAGCCUCGGCCCCAUCUGGCCCCCCUCCCGUGUCCAGGGAAGGAUAGAGGACCCCUGCAUCCGUCCGUCCCUCCGUCCGUCCAUCUGCUUAUUUGGCUAGAAGGGGGAAGGGAGGUUACGGCGGAAACACCUGAUGUUCCAUUUGAAGAAGGACCGCGCCUCGCAACGGAUUCGACCCCGUGCCGCGGGCCGGGGCAGCGGCCGGGAGGCAGCGACGGGAAGAGAGCGAGAGGGCCGGCGUGCCACGCCAGGGGAGGAGGUGAGCUCCCCAUCAGAACAUGGAGAGAGCUGCAGUGGGAUGAGUCUGGCAUUACUACUGAGUAGGAAAAUUUACACAAUUGCCAACUUCAAGGUUUCAGUUUCCUUGUUCUUACCAAGGGAAAGUUGAGAGCGACUAUCUUUUUUAGUUACAUAUUGACAUGUGAUUUUUCAGUGCCUGAAUGUAUAAAUAGUAGAGGGUUAUUUAAUUACUAAUUUCAGAGCUUUUUUACGAUGUUAACAGUCUGAAUACAAGCAUUGCAUUCCUUUUUCAGAUACAUUCCUUUCCAAAAACUCGAUGAAAAAUGUCUUAAUGUAUCGCAUAGCAUUGCCUCCAUCACAAACACACACACACAGUGACUCCAGACGUUUUUUGAAAAACUUUCUUUGUUUUUUGGUUUUUUUGUAUUGAUACUAACACAUUAAAAAGGAUAGGACAAAGGCAGAAAAAUCGAGGGAAACAAACAAACAAAGAUGGACGACUAGUAGUUUUAGUUUAGGAGUGAGUUCCUAGCUCCAUGCUGCACACCUACUUACUACACGUAGUUAUUUCAAAAUAAAUAUGAAGUUUACGUUUUUAACUACCACAAAUCAGAGCUUCCACUGGCCUUAAGAUGGUGGCAGGGCCUGAAGGGGGAUAAAUGCGACGCUAGGCACCGAACCGAGAGCUAAACCACCCCCCAACCCCACCCCCCCCCUCUGUUGCAUGUCUCUGGGGAAACCAGACAUGGCAGGAACAAAUCGAAUACAUUUGGAAGUCUUGAUGAUUUACAUUCUGAUUCAGUUUAUUUUUAUUAUUGUGCUUGAUUUGUGGCUUUUAAACUGCUAUUCCGUAGUAUUUUUUGUUAUUUUCUAUUUUUAUUAGAUGACUUGGAUUUCUAGAGAGCCUGAGCUUGACGUCAAUAAACCACACUCCCCUUAGCAUUCUCCUUCUUUAGUGGUUAGCUUUCAUUAGAGCGGAUUGGACCCAUCGGCCAAAAGAGAUCUGAGUGAAGCUAGCUGAAAUGAUGACUUGUUGUUCGUGUUCCAGGAGGUACGAGGUCUCUGUGAAUGCUGUUGUAAACAUGUCGCUGUCCACCGCUUACUGUUGGAAAGACUAAAACCUCCAUUUGGUGCCCAAAUAAGCAAUUGACUCGUGUGUACCAACUACUCUCGCCAAAUGAAUUUGUUCUACAAUGAGGUUGUAGAACAAUGAGGCUGAAUAUGAUAUAAUAUUUCUAGUAGCUGUUUUGGAUACAUAACGAUAGAAUAACUCAUCUAUUUGCCACGUUAAAUGACCAUAGGCGAGUUAAUUAAUUGACUGAUGUAAGAUCAUGGGUGCAAUAGCUUUUAUUGUUAUUCUUUUUAGAAACUAAAUUGAUAACAAGGUGUAAAGCUAAUUCGCUGAAAAAUACUUAAUUCGUGGUUCAAAUUUUUUAUUUGUUAAUGCUAUUAAUGCAAUGUGUUUUUUGUUUUUAAGUGUUGAUGAACCUAAUUGUGGAAACUUGAAGCAUGUGAAAUUGGCACAUAAUGUCAUAUCAGGCUAACGGUUAGCGAAAGGCUGACCUCAACUUGAAUCCCCAUAUUCAGCUAAGUGGUUUCAUUGAUCAACAAUGAACUCAGUCAGUAAGAAACAGUAAGUCGUCAUUUUAGCAGGUUUCUACGUUUUUUAACAGCUUGUGGUCUCCUCUAGGGAUCAAAUGAACAAAUUCCAGAACUGGCAGUUGCUAACAGGUGUUGUUGUGAAUAACCCUUUGCCUCCAGUUACUCUUCAGAUCUCCCCUGAAACGAUAAAGAGCCAAACAGAGAGAACAAGAGACAACAGUUAACCGGUCCACGUUGAAAUGGAAUUGGAGGGCACAAAUCUGUUCUCCAUGUUAGUAUAUAUUUUUUUUAAACAAGGAACAGGGUAAAUGAUGGAUAAUAUAUAUAAAGAAAAAAUACUUGAAUCAUGAACCAACCGACUGCAUGGUAAACGUCUCAACCUAGUGUUUUGAUAAAUUCAAACUAAUUUCAAUUUAAAAAACAUUCAAAUCCAACGUGUGUUGCUCGUUGAAAAUGAGGACGAAAUGGGUGAAUUAUGGGGUGAAGCAUGCUGUCGUCACAGUAGUUUAUAUGGUAGGCAUCUUAGUAAAGAAAGUGAAAUAAAGCCCUUAAGUCCCUCAUGCCCCAGACAGACAUAACAUGUGAGAAGAUGUUUCAUUCGCCCCUAAAGCCGAUGGACAGAAAUAGGAGCUCAGUUCCUCUGGCUGGCCACAGGCAGCCCUGGUGAGUCAGUGGGGGAGUAGUGACGAGAGAGUAGGAGUGAGGGAGGUGAAGGAGAGUGAGAGGGUGCCCACUACCACCGCCACCGCUACACCAGUGGUUCCAUGGCAGCCAAAGAGAGCUCUUCAUUUAACAACGUAUUUAGUUUGUGGUGAAUGGUGCCUAAUCAAGCAUGAGUCUUUAUUAAUUUUCUUCUUUUCUUCCUGGCCUUUUUCUUCUCCUCCUUUCUCUUUUCAACUUGAAUAAAUGAAGCAUGCGUUCUUACAGCCUCCCUGCCAACCUCCUCCUCCUCUCUGCUCCACCCCUCUCACCUCCUCCUCCUCUCUGCUCCACCCCUCUCACCUCCUCCUCCUCUCUGCUCCACCCCUCUCACCUCCUCUUCCUCUCUGCUCCACCCCUCUCACCUCCUCUUCCUCUCUGCUCCACCCCUCUCACCUCCUCCUCCUCUCUGCUCCACCCCCUCUCACCUCCUCCUCCUCUCUGCUCCACCCCUCUCCUCUGAAGGGGGGUCCAAUCACAAUCCUCCGCCCAGGCAGUGAGUGCAUCAGGUGGGCCGAGUGUGUGGGAACCGGGAGCGCCUCGGCCCGAUAAUGUCCCCUCACGUGACUGGUGUUAAAUAGCGAUAUGCUCCCUCUGGUGUCUCUGUUACCGCUACAUCAGGAGGGACGUUGGCCCUGUUGUAGCUCAUCAGUCAUCAUUAGGUGACCAUUAGCAUCCAGUGCAUGACGGGUUCCUCAGUGGAAUGACCUCCAGCUGAGACCAUAGAAUACACUAAUGGACUGAGGGAGAGGCUCCCUCUGAGGCAUCCGGUGAGGACCUCCCCGUUUAGGUGGAGGGGGGAGAGAGAUAGAGAGAAUGAGAGAGAGGGAGAGGGAGAGAGAGAGAGAGAGAGCAAUUCGAUAAAUAGAGAGAGGGGGAGACAGAGAGACGGGAGAGGAUGAAAAGAGGAAGGCAGCACAUAAGAAGACAGCCCUGGCUCAUUAGGAGACAGAUGUCCAUCUGAGCUCCUGGGAGUGUGGAGCAGCGAGAGAGCGAGUGUCCCGUGAAUAUGACCUCAUUGUUGAUGUCACAGAACAAGCGGGACAAAUGGCCGAGCACCGGGGGGCGAGGUGGGGAGACUCCGCGUUGAGCAGAUAUGCAGUAAAAAUACCACAAAAUGAUCACUCUCACGUUAGGGGAGGGAUGGUACAGGUUUUGUCCUAGAUUCUUCUUUUCUACUAAAUGAGGUAUGAGUCAGGUUUCAUUUCCUAUCUGCCCGAUUGGGUUCCUUUUCUUUCCAAAUGAACUUUCUUUCCCAUCCCUCCAUUAUCGUCACCAACAAAGAACUGCCCAAACACCAUUCCAGAAAAUGAAAUAUCAAUAGUGUCCUGAUAUUUUUUUUCCUCUUGAAAAAAAACAAACAUGAAUAAAAAAUUAAUAAAAUGUAUAAAAACAACACAACGACAACAACUACAUGACCAUUGUGAAGCGAGGGACAUUCAUGACGUUGGUAGUAGAUACGAGAUAAAAACGCACCCGAGAAUCUUUUACUAUCCAAAAAAAAGUAGGCUUUGAAACGUAGAGCAUCAGAAGGUACUUCUGCCAAACAAACAAAAAAAAUAUUACAAAGUGACAAACCCCGAAACGUGAAAAAAAAGAAAUGUAAAAGCAUCAUUGUCCUGUGUACACUGCCACAUAAUGUAUGUAGUAGCGCUGGAAUAAAUCUACUUUUAAAUGGAUGGGGAAUCGGUUUAACAUGGUAUGUUCUCUGUAAACUGUAUGUUGUUCCUUCAUUUUUGCAGGUUAACUUUUGUCCUAGCAAGGAGAGACACCAAGGUCAAAUCAUUAAAGACUAUCUUCAGCU
ensembl:lncRNA